rnacentral:lncRNA from 1 species
GCUAGGGUUCCUCGGACGCGCGUCUAACGGAAAAGAAAUCCGCUGGGAUACUUGGAAGCUUUAUAGGGCGCUGGGCAAACGUUUUGGCAAGCAAAUCCCGGAGUCCACGGUUUCGGUUCGGUGGAAAUCUCCCGGCCGAGUCCUACUCGCUCACGGCGAGAGGAGGGGGACGAGCGCCGCCCAGUGGGGCCCGCAUGUCAGCGGCAAGGAGGAGGGGGAAAGGAACGGGCCUAGCGGUCAGACAGAGAGGGGAGGGGGGUGCGCAUGCGCGCCCUGGCCGCGCAGCUGGGCCGCAGGGGUGCUGGGCCGCGCGCGGGGCUGGCUACGGCUGAGGGGU